rnacentral:rRNA from 1 species
AUUGAACGCUGGCGGAAUGCUUUACACAUGCAAGUCGAGCGGCAGCGCGGGGCAACCUGGCGGCGAGCGGCGAACGGGUGAGUAAUGCAUCGGAAUGUACCCAGUCGUGGGGGAUAACACAGCGAAAGUUGUGCUAAUACCGCAUACGUCCUGAGGGAGAAAGCGGGGGAUCGCAAGACCUCGCGCGAUUGGAGCAGCCGAUGUCAGAUUAGCUAGUUGGUGAGGUAAAGGCUCACCAAGGCGACGAUCUGUAGCGGGGCUGAGAGGACGACCCGCCACACUGGAACUGAGACACGGUCCAGACUCCUACGGGAGGCAGCAGUGGGGAAUUUUGGACAAUGGGCGAAAGCCUGAUCCAGCCAUUUCGCGUGAGUGAAGAAGGCCUUCGGGUUGUAAAGCUCUUUCGGCAGGAACGAAACGGUCGUCUCUAACAUAGAUGGCUAAUGACGGUACCUGAAGAAGAAGCACCGGCUAACUUCGUGCCAGCCGCCGCCGUAA